UGGGGAAUAUUGCACAAUUGGCGCAAGCCUGAUGCAGCCAUGCCGCGUGUAUGAAGAAGGCCUUCGGGUUGUAAAGUACUUUCAGCGGGGAGGAAGGGAGUAAAGUUAAUACCUUUGCUCAUUGACGUUACCCGCAGAAGAAGCACCGGCUAACUCCGUGCCAGCAGCCGCGGUAAUACGGAGGGUGCAAGCGUUAAUCGGAAUUACUGGGCGUAAAGCGCACGCAGGCGGUUUGUUAAGUCAGAUGUGAAAUCCCCGGGCUCAACCUGGGAACUGCAUCUGAUACUGGCAAGCUUGAGUUUCGUAGAGGGGGGUAGAAUUCCAGGUGUAGCGGUGAAAUGCGUAGAGAUCUGGGGGAAUACCGGUGGCGAAGGCGGCCCCCUGGACGAAGACUGACGCUCAGGUGCGAAAGCGUGGGGAGCAAACAGG
rnacentral:rRNA from 1 species